CAUUUACCAUACAUAACAUAAUUAAAGUCCACCUUUAAAUUUUAUCCCCCCCUCCCUAUAAUUGACAAAGAAGAUAAAUUUUGUUUUGUUUUUUUACAUACCAGCUAUUAGCUGAAUAUAUCAGCUAUCAGCUAUUAGCUGAAUAUAUAGAAGCCCACCUUAAAAUAGAAGCAAGUAUUUUAGAUGCCCACGAAUAAGAUAAAAAUGUUUUUUUUGUUUUUUUACAUAGCUGAAUAUAUAGAAGCCCACCCUAAAAUGGAAGAAGUAUUUUAGAUGCCCACUUUUUAGGGAUGUUGAAAAAUGGAAGCCCCUGCUUUUAUUAUACUAUUUAUGGUGUGUUGAUAAUUAAAUUUAAUGUUUUUUACUUAUUAGAAAAAUGUAGUGCAUGUUUCUAUUGCAAAUAUACAACACGCAGCUGUCAUCAUCUAUAAGGGGUCUAUUACCCAAUGCUGUAAAUUUGAAACAUUGCUAGAUAACUUCAUGGACGAUUUUGGUGAUGAAAAUCCUAGCACUGAUGAAGUAAGCAAGUUUGCCCUCAAUUAUAUUGAAGGCAAUACUGACGGAAAAAGAAAACAUUCUGAUGGAGACCAAUCCUCAGAUUCAGAGAAUAUUGCACCGGUCUCAGAACAUACAGGCCUAAACGGACCUAAAUAUAAAUCGACUCCUAAAUCAAAGGUGCU